rnacentral:rRNA from 1 species
GGGUUGUGAGGUUAAGCGACUAAGCGUACACGGUGGAUGCCCUGGCAGUCAGAGGCGAUGAAGGGCGUGCUAAUCUGCGAUAAGCGCCGGUAAGGUGAUAUGAACCGUUAUAACCGGCGAUACCCGAAUGGGGAAACCCAGUGUGACUCGUCACACUAUCAUUAACUGAAUCCAUAGGUUAAUGAGGCGAACCGGGGGAACUGAAACAUCUAAGUACCCCGAGGAAAAGAAAUCAACCGAGAUUCCCCCAGUAGCGGCGAGCGAACGGGGAGGAGCCCAGAGCCUGAAUCAGCAUGUGUGUUAGUGGAAGCGUCUGGAAAGGCGCGCGAUACAGGGUGACAGCCCCGUACACAAAAGCGCAUGUGCUGUGAGCUCGAUGAGUAGGGCGGGACACGUGGUAUCCUGUCUGAAUAUGGGGGGACCAUCCUCCAAGGCUAAAUACUCCUGACUGACCGAUAGUGAACCAGUACCGUGAGGGAAAGGCGAAAAGAACCCCGGCGAGGGGAGUGAAAAAGAACCUGAAACCGUGUACGUACAAGCAGUGGGAGCACCCUUUGGGUGUGACUGCGUACCUUUUGUAUAAUGGGUCAGCGACUUAUAUUCUGUAGCAAGGUUAACCGAAUAGGGGAGCCGGAGGGAAACCGAGUCUUAAUUGGGCGUUAAGUUGCAGGGUAUAGACCCGAAACCCGGUGAUCUAGCCAUGGGCAGGUUGAAGGUUGGGUAACACUAACUGGAGGACCGAACCGACUAAUGUUGAAAAAUUAGCGGAUGACCUGUGGCUGGGGGUGAAAGGCCAAUCAAACCGGGAGAUAGCUGGUUCUCCCCGAAAGCUAUUUAGGUAGCGCCUCGUGAAUUCAUCUCCGGGGGUAGAGCACUGUUUCGGCUAGGGGGCCAUCCCGGCUUACCAACCCGAUGCAAACUGCGAAUACCGGAGAAUGUUAUCACGGGAGACACACGGCGGGUGCUAACGUCCGUCGUGAAGAGGGAAACAACCCAGACCGCCAGCUAAGGUCCCAAAGUCAUGGUUAAGUGGGAAACGAUGUGGGAAGGCCCAGACAGCCAGGAUGUUGGCUUAGAAGCAGCCAUCAUUUAAAGAAAGCGUAAUAGCUCACUGGUCGAGUCGGCCUGCGCGGAAGAUGUAACGGGGCUAAACCAUGCACCGAAGCUGCGGCAGCGACACUGUGUGUUGUUGGGUAGGGGAGCGUUCUGUAAGCCUGUGAAGGUGUGUCGUGAGGCAUGCUGGAGGUAUCAGAAGUGCGAAUGCUGACAUAAGUAACGAUAAAGCGGGUGAAAAGCCCGCUCGCCGGAAGACCAAGGGUUCCUGUCCAACGUUAAUCGGGGCAGGGUGAGUCGACCCCUAAGGCGAGGCCGAAAGGCGUAGUCGAUGGGAAACGGGUUAAUAUUCCCGUACUUGGUGUUACUGCGAAGGGGGGACGGAGAAGGCUAUGUUGGCCGGGCGACGGUUGUCCCGGUUUAAGCGUGUAGGUGUGUGUUCCAGGUAAAUCCGGUUCACUUUAACACUGAGGCGUGACGACGAGGCACUACGGUGCUGAAGCAACAAAUGCCCUGCUUCCAGGAAAAGCCUCUAAGCAUCAGGUAACAUCAAAUCGUACCCCAAACCGACACAGGUGGUCAGGUAGAGAAUACCAAGGCGCUUGAGAGAACUCGGGUGAAGGAACUAGGCAAAAUGGUGCCGUAACUUCGGGAGAAGGCACGCUGACACGUAGGUGAAGUGAUUUACUCAUGGAGCUGAAGUCAGUCGAAGAUACCAGCUGGCUGCAACUGUUUAUUAAAAACACAGCACUGUGCAAACACGAAAGUGGACGUAUACGGUGUGACGCCUGCCCGGUGCCGGAAGGUUAAUUGAUGGGGUCAGCGCAAGCGAAGCUCCUGAUCGAAGCCCCGGUAAACGGCGGCCGUAACUAUAACGGUCCUAAGGUAGCGAAAUUCCUUGUCGGGUAAGUUCCGACCUGCACGAAUGGCGUAAUGAUGGCCAGGCUGUCUCCACCCGAGACUCAGUGAAAUUGAACUCGCUGUGAAGAUGCAGUGUACCCGCGGCAAGACGGAAAGACCCCGUGAACCUUUACUAUAGCUUGACACUGAACAUUGAGCCUUGAUGUGUAGGAUAGGUGGGAGGCUUUGAAGUGUGGACGCCAGUCUGCAUGGAGCCGACCUUGAAAUACCACCCUUUAAUGUUUGAUGUUCUAACGUGGACCCGUUACCCGGGUUGCGGACAGUGUCUGGUGGGUAGUUUGACUGGGGCGGUCUCCUCCUAAAGAGUAACGGAGGAGCACGAAGGUUGGCUAAUCCUGGUCGGACAUCAGGAGGUUAGUGCAAUGGCAUAAGCCAGCUUGACUGCGAGCGUGACGGCGCGAGCAGGUGCGAAAGCAGGUCAUAGUGAUCCGGUGGUUCUGAAUGGAAGGGCCAUCGCUCAACGGAUAAAAGGUACUCCGGGGAUAACAGGCUGAUACCGCCCAAGAGUUCAUAUCGACGGCGGUGUUUGGCACCUCGAUGUCGGCUCAUCACAUCCUGGGGCUGAAGUAGGUCCCAAGGGUAUGGCUGUUCGCCAUUUAAAGUGGUACGCGAGCUGGGUUUAGAACGUCGUGAGACAGUUCGGUCCCUAUCUGCCGUGGGCGCUGGAGAACUGAGGGGGGCUGCUCCUAGUACGAGAGGACCGGAGUGGACGCAUCACUGGUGUUCGGGUUGUCAUGCCAAUGGCACUGCCCGGUAGCUAAAUGCGGAAGAGAUAAGUGCUGAAAGCAUCUAAGCACGAAACUUGCCCCGAGAUGAGUUCUCCCUGAGACUUAAAGUCUCCUGAAGGAACGUUGAAGACGACGACGUUGAUAGGCCGGGUGUGUAAGCGCAGCGAUGCGUUGAGCUAACCGGUACUAAUGAACCGUGAGGCUUAACCUUACAACGCCG